GAUGAACGCUGGCGGCGUGCCUAAUACAUGCAAGUCGAGCGAACAGAUGCUGAUCUUGCUCCUCUGACGUUAGCGGCGGACGGGUGAGUAACACGUGGAUAACCUACCUAUAAGACUGGGAUAACUUCGGGAAACCGGAGCUAAUACCGGAUAAUAUAUUGAACCGCAUGGUUCAAUAGUGAAAGACGGUUUUGCUGUCACUUAUAGAUGGAUCCGCGCCGCAUUAGCUAGUUGUUAAGGUAACGGCUUACCAAGGCAACGAUGCGUAGCCGACCUGAGAGGGUGGUCGGCCACACUGGAGCUGAGCCACGGUCAAGACUCCUACGGGAGGCAGCAGUAGGGAAUCUUCCGCAAUGGGCGAAAGCCUGACGGAGCAACGCGGCGUGAGUGAUGAAGGUCUUCGGAUCGGAAAACUCUGUUAUUAGGGAAGAACAAAUGUGUAAGUAACUAUGCACGUAUUGACGGUACCUAAUCAGAAAGCCACGGCUAACUACGUG
rnacentral:rRNA from 1 species